AAACCAACAGGGAUUGCCCCAGUAACGGCGAGUGAAGCGGCAACAGCUCAAAUUUGAAAUCUGGCCUUCGGGUCCGAGUUGUAAUUUGGAGAGGAUGCUUUUGGCGCGGCGCCGUCCGAGUUCCUUGGAACAGGACGCCAUAGAGGGUGAGAGCCCCGUACGGGCGGCCGCCUAGCCUCUGUAAAGCUCCUUCGACGAGUCGAGUAGUUUGGGAAUGCUGCUCAAAAUGGGAGGUAAAUUUCUUCUAAAGCUAAAUACUGGCCAGAGACCGAUAGCGCACAAGUAGAGUGAUCGAAAGAUGAAAAGCACUUUGAAAAGAGGGUUAAAAAGUACGUGAAAUUGUUGAAAGGGAAGCGCCUGUGACCAGACUUGCGGCCCGUGGAUCAUCCGGUGUUCUUCACCGGUGCACUCCGCGGGCUGCAGGCCAGCAUCGGUUUUCCUGGGGGGACAAAGGUGGCGGGAACGUAGCUCUUUCGGGAGUGUUAUAGCCCGCUGCGUCAUGCCCCUGGGGGGACCGAGGACCGCGCUUCGGCAAGGAUGCUGGCGUAAUGGUCACCGGCGAC
rnacentral:rRNA from 1 species